UACGUAGGGGGCUAGCGUUGUCCGGAUUUAUUGGGCGUAAAGCGCGUGUAGGCGGCCAGGUAGGUCUGGUGUGAAAACUCGAGGCUUAACCUCGAGAUGUCAUCGGAAACCAUCUGGCUAGAGUCCGGAAGAGGAGAGUGGAAUUCCUGGUGUAGCGGUGAAAUGCGCAGAUAUCAGGAAGAACACCAAUGGCGAAAGCAGCUCUCUGGGACGGUACUGACGCUGAGACGCGAAAGCGUGGGGAGCGAACAGG
rnacentral:rRNA from 1 species